rnacentral:rRNA from 1 species
GGAGAACGCCCGCCCAAGGCUUAACACACGCAAGUCCGAGGGGCAGCACGGUCUUAGCUUUGCUAAGGCCGAAGGCGACCGGCGCACGGGUGAGUAACACGUAUCCAACCUGCCGUCUACUCUUGGACAGCCUUCUGAAAGGAAGAUUAAUACAAGAUGGCAUCAUGAGUCCGCAUGUUCACAUGAUUAAAGGUAUUCCGGUAGACGAUGGGGAUGCGUUCCAUUAGAUAGUAGGCGGGGUAACGGCCCACCUAGUCUUCGAUGGAUAGGGGUUCUGAGAGGAAGGUCCCCCACAUUGGAACUGAGACACGGUCCAAACUCCUACGGGAGGCAGCAGUGAGGAAUAUUGGUCAAUGGGCGAGAGCCUGAACCAGCCAAGUAGCGUGAAGGAUGACUGCCCUAUGGGUUGUAAACUUCUUUUAUAAAGGAAUAAAGUCGGGUAUGGAUACCCGUUUGCAUGUACUUUAUGAAUAAGGAUCGGCUAACUCCGUGCCAGCAGCCGCGGUAAUACGGAGGAUCCGAGCGUUAUCCGGAUUUAUUGGGUUUAAAGGGAGCGUAGAUGGAUGUUUAAGUCAGUUGUGAAAGUUUGCGGCUCAACCGUAAAAUUGCAGUUGAUACUGGAUAUCUUGAGUGCAGUUGAGGCAGGCGGAAUUCGUGGUGUAGCGGUGAAAUGCUUAGAUAUCACGAAGAACUCCGAUUGCGAAGGCAGCCUGCUAAGCUGCAACUGACAUUGAGGCUCGAAAGUGUGGGUAUCAAACAGGAUUAGAUACCCUGGUAGUCCACACGGUAAACGAUGAAUACUCGCUGUUUGCGAUAUACUGCAAGCGGCCAAGCGAAAGCGUUAAGUAUUCCACCUGGGGAGUACGCCGGCAACGGUGAAACUCAAAGGAAUUGACGGGGGCCCGCACAAGCGGAGGAACAUGUGGUUUAAUUCGAUGAUACGCGAGGAACCUUACCCGGGCUUAAAUUGCAGAUGAAUUACGGUGAAAGCCGUAAGCCGCAAGGCAUCUGUGAAGGUGCUGCAUGGUUGUCGUCAGCUCGUGCCGUGAGGUGUCGGCUUAAGUGCCAUAACGAGCGCAACCCUUGUUGUCAGUUACUAACAGGUUCCGCUGAGGACUCUGACAAGACUGCCAUCGUAAGAUGUGAGGAAGGUGGGGAUGACGUCAAAUCAGCACGGCCCUUACGUCCGGGGCUACACACGUGUUACAAUGGGGGGUACAGAGGGCCGCUACCACGCGAGUGGAUGCCAAUCCCCAAAACCUCUCUCAGUUCGGACUGGAGUCUGCAACCCGACUCCACGAAGCUGGAUUCGCUAGUAAUCGCGCUUCAGCCACGGCGCGGUGAAUACGUUCCCGGGCCU